UACAGAGGUCUCAAGCGUUGUCCGGAAUUAUUGGGCGUAAAGAGCUCGUAGGCGGUCUGUCACGUCGGACGUGAAAAUCCAGGGCUCAACCCUGGACCUGCGUUCGAUACGGGCAUCACUGGAGUUCGGCAGGGGAGACUGGAAUUCCUGGUGUAGCGGUGAAAUGCGCAGAUAUCAGGAGGAACACCGGUGGCGAAGGC
rnacentral:rRNA from 1 species